UUGGGUUAAUUAGACAAAUUCGUCGAGAGAAAAAAACGUAACGGGCCGAAUUUGGUUCUGGCUCGACAGCAGAUUGGCGCAAUAUAGCUAACUGAUGAUCGUGGCAUGGGAAAGGGUACUGGAUCGGCUCACCUUGGGCUGGCGAUGCGGUCGAUGGCUGGGCGUUGCUGGGCCAGCGGAUAUGGCGCUGGUCGGCCCACCUGGCCGUCCGCGGCUUGUGGGCACGCGCUGGUCCGGGGCGCUUCUACUGGGCGAGGCGAGGCGAAGCGGGCUGCCGCGGGGAAGCUGCCUGUCUCUUAUACACAUCUCCGAGCCCACGANGCUGGGCAUCUGCGAUUACCCAGACAUGUCCGAUUUGACCGCGGACAUGUCCGGCGAGGCGAAAUCUGCUUAUUCUGGGCCCUUAGAUCAAGAUCUAAGGGUUUACAUCUGAGGGGCUGGCUAGGGUUGCGGGUUUAGAGGGUUUUGAUGGCUAGGUGGUAGGUUUAGGAGUUGGUGGCUAUAAAUUUGGCAAGUGGGAAAUCCUAGAAUGAGAGGCGCCUCUUCGUGGGGUGGGUUUAUAUAGGGAUUGGUCUAUUGUAGGUUGGACCUCGUCCGUCCGAUCGCAAUCCGUCGAUCACGAAUGUAGGCAGGGGCUAGGUGGGUCUAGUCGGCUCUGUAGAUGGGCUAUGUGGGGACGAUAGAGAAG
rnacentral:lncRNA from 1 species